UAGCAUGUCCGUGUCGCGUGGUUAACGUUUCUACCCGGGUCUUGUUUAGAUUUGGUGUUGCUUGAGAUGGCGUGAGAUCGAAAUGGCCGGGCAUCCGUUGAGGCGUUGAGCUGCCUGUCCGAGAUACGUACACAGUAGGACUUCUCUUGUGAAAACAAGAAGGACCCCAUAUCAGAUUGCACAUCAAAGAGAUACUGUACAAUAAAGAUCAAAAGAAAAGAAAAAAAGGGUGCAUCCGAGUCCAUGGUCACACAUCAUUUCGGCAACCAUGUACCUGACGAUCUCUUUGAGAUGUACGC
rnacentral:lncRNA from 1 species